rnacentral:rRNA from 1 species
GGUGGGCACUAGGUGUGGGGACCAUUCCACGGUCUCUGCGCCGCAGCUAACGCAUUAAGUGCCCCGCCUGGGGAGUACGGCCGCAAGGCUAAAACUCAAAGGAAUUGACGGGGGCCCGCACAAGCGGCGGAGCAUGCGGCUUAAUUCGAAGCAACGCGAAGAACCUUACCUAGGCUUGACAUGCAGGGAAAACUGGCAGAGAUGUCAGGUCCUUCGGGGCCUUGCACAGGUGGUGCAUGGCUGUCGUCAG